rnacentral:rRNA from 1 species
AUUGAACGCUGGCGGCAGGCCUAACACAUGCAAGUCGAACGAGUGGCGGACGGGUGAGUAAUGUCUGGGAAACUGCCCGAUGGAGGGGGAUAACUACUGGAAACGGUAGCUAAUACCGCAUACCAUCGGAUGUGCACAGAUGGGAUUAGCUAGUAGGUGGGGUAAAGGCUCACCUAGGCGACGAUCCCUAGCUGGUCUGAGAGGAUGACCAGCCACACUGGAACUGAGCCACGGUCCAGACUCCUACGGGAGGCAGCAUUGGGGAAUAUUGCACAAUGGGCGCAAGCCUGAUGCAGCCAUGCCGCGUGUAUGAAGAAGGCCUUCGGGUUGUAAAGUACUUUCAGCGAGGAGGCGUUACUCGCAGAAGAAGCACCGGCUAACUCCGUGCCAGCAGCCGCGGUAAUUC